GAUGAACGCUGGCGGCGUGCCUAAUACAUGCAAGUCGAGCGAACAGACGAGGAGCUUGCUCCUCUGACGUUAGCGGCGGACGUGUGAGUAACACGUGGAUAACCUACCUAUAAGACUGGGAUAACUUCGGGAAACCGGAGCUAAUACCGGAUAAUAUAUUGAACCGCAUGGUUCAAUAGUGAAAGACGGUUUUGCUGUCACUUAUAGAUGGAUCCGCGCCGUUUUAGCUAGUUGGUAAGGUAACGGCUUACCAAGGCGACGAUGCGUAUCCGACAUGAGAGGGUGAUCGGCCACACUGGAACUGAGACAUGGUCCAGACUCCUACGGGAGGCAGCAGUAGGGAAUCUUGCGCAAUGGGCGAAAGCCUGACGGAGCAACGCCGCGUGAGUGAUGAAGGUCUUCGGAUCGUAAAACUCUGUUAUUAGGGAAGAACAAAUGUGUAAGUAACUAUGCACGUCUUGACGGUACCUAAUCAGAAAGCCACGGCUAACUACGUG
rnacentral:rRNA from 1 species